rnacentral:lncRNA from 1 species
AAGUCUGGACUAUAGCCGACGACAUUAUUUCGUCGGCUAAAGUCUUGACUUUAGCCGACGACUUAUACGUGUGUCGUCGGCUAAAGUCACCACAGACGAGCUUUUCCCGACGAAAUCUUAGCCGACGAAAGGUCGUCGGCUAAGAUCUUAGCCGACGAAUUAAGCUGACAGGCCGACGAAAAAUUUUCGUCGGCUAAAGUGCUUGUCCUGGUAGUGUAAAAUAUGUGCUUAAAGUAGUAAUUGAGUAUUUAAAGUGAUUAGAAAAAAGUUGUUACAACUUGAUGACUCAUAUUACAAUUUUGAGGAUCUCAAUUACCACUUUAAGGACAAAUGAGGACUAAUAUUGUAACUAAUUCUUUUUACAACUUUAACGACUAAGAGCAACUUUAGCAGACUCUAUAUUUUAGCUUUUAGCUAUUUCAGAGAGUGUGUUUAGCUUUUUUUGAUAUUUUCGGAGCUCCAGCAGACUAGCCAAAGUUUAGCUAUUAUAACUUUUAGCUAUCUCGCUAGCUAAAUUUAGAGAGCGAGAUGACUCAUAUGAGGCUAGCUAUAAUUUAAUGCAUUCUUUGUAAGAUAUUUUACAUGAUAUAUAAAUAUAUUUAAACUAUUUAAUCUUUAUUUGAAGAAUAAUGUUGAUGUAAUGCUAGUUAAAAUAGAGAGCAUUGAUGCAGCCGCAUUUCUAAAGUGGCUAGCUAAAAUAACAUUUUAGCUAAUUUGACUAAAAUUUAACUAAAAAAUGGCUAGCAUUGCUAAAGAUGCUCUAAUAUUACAACUUUAAUGACUGAUAUUACUACUUUGAUGACUCAUUUUACAACUUGAAAACAAAGUUGAUACAUCACAUAUUAUAGUAUUAUACAAUGUUUUCAGCAAUUAAUGCCACAAAUGUUGUUAAAGUACCCUUUUUCAGUAGUAUACAAGCAUUUUUAUUGUGAAUUCAGCAACUUCAAUAAUUAGUUAAACGUAUCUUAACUUAAUCCCCAAAUUCUUAAUCCUUACCAGCUGACUCUGCAAUCCGAUAUUAUAUAUAUAUAUAUAUGCCCAU